UGGGGAAUAUUGGACAAUGGGGGAAACCCUGAUCCAGCCAUGCCGCGUGAGUGAUGACGGCCUUAGGGUUGUAAAGCUCUUUCGCUAGGGAAGAUAAUGACGGUACCUAGUAAAGAAGCCCCGGCUAACUUCGUGCCAGCAGCCGCGGUAAUACGAAGGGGGCUAGCGUUGUUCGGAAUUACUGGGCGUAAAGCGCGCGUAGGCGGGUCAUUAAGUCAGGGGUGAAAUCCCGGGGCUCAACCUCGGAAUUGCCUUUGAUACUGGUGACCUCGAGUCCGAGAGAGGUGAGUGGAACUCCGAGUGUAGAGGUGAAAUUCGUAGAUAUUCGGAAGAACACCAGUGGCGAAGGCGGCUCACUGGCUCGGUACUGACGCUGAGGUGCGAAAGCGUGGGGAGCAAACAGGAUUAGAUACCCCCGUAGUCC
rnacentral:rRNA from 1 species